UUGGGAAUCUUCCGCAAUGGACGCAAGUCUGACGGAGCAACGCCGCGUGAGUGAAGAAGGAUUUCGGUUCGUAAAACUCUGUUGUUAGAGAAGAACAGCGCAUAGAGUAACUGUUAUGCGUGUGACGGUAUCUAACCAGAAAGCCACGGCUAACUACGUGCCAGCAGCCGCGGUAAUACGUAGGUGGCAAGCGUUGUCCGGAUUUAUUGGGCGUAAAGCGAGCGCAGGCGGUCAAUUAAGUCUGAUGUGAAAGCCCCCGGCUCAACCGGGGAGGGUCAUUGGAAACUGGUUGACUUGAGGGCAGAAGAGGAGAGUGGAAUUCCAUGUGUAGCGGUGAAAUGCGUAGUUAUAUGGAGGAACACCAGUGGCGAAGGCGACUCUCUGGUCUGUAACUGACGCUGAGGCUCGGAAGCGUGGGUAGCAAACAGG
rnacentral:rRNA from 1 species